UGCUAUUCUGGGAAGUGGCGCUUGGAAUAACCCCCGUGUGCGUAUGAGUGUGUGUGUGCGUGUGUAUGUGUCUCCUGAUUUCACCCUCACACACGCACACAUACACACUCACAACACAGUGAGACGCACACAUUGACUGUCUGUCUGACUGCAGUAGUGGAGCUCCGGCGGCACAAAUCCGGUCGGAAAGGAUUCCUUCCAUUUUUACGCGUAACUUUUCCUCCGCCGCGCCGCGACGUUUCCACCGCUGCUCCUCGGCUCUUGUGGAUUUCUAACAACCAGCCUCCCCGACUUGGUUCUAACGGACAAACCAGCGAGGUGUCAAGCCCGCCCGGAAUCGGAUCUCCUGUCACCGGGUUUGCUUGUUGUCAUUUUCGCACGGAGACGGAGACGCGCAGCCGGAGCGCAGACAGAAGGGACUGUGACCAGUUGUGGACUUGCUAAACUGGACCAGGGAACAAACAGUUACACCAGGGUGAAGAGGAAGAAACUGUGAAGCUGCGUGAUGCCAAA